rnacentral:tRNA from 1 species
AUUUAAAUAGUUUAAUUAGAAUAAUAAUUUGUGGUGUUAUAGGUAUAUAUAUUUAUUUUAAAUC